UUGUCAGGUAGGAAGAUCCUUACCUGUUCCUCUAUUCAGAGGAAAGAUAGACAUGAUGACCGGAGUUUGGAGUUCCCAUGGUUCAUGAUUAAUGUCUCUGUGUGAUUAGGGCUCACAACACCCUAAAUGCUCCUAUCUCAU